UGGGCAACCUGCCCCAGACUCUGGGAUAACUCCGGGAAACCGGGGCUAAUACCGGAUACUCCGAUCGGACGACAUCGUCUGACCGGGAAAGCUCCGACGGUCUGGGAUGGGCCCGCGGCCUAUCAGCUUGUUGGCGAGGUAACGGCUCACCAAGGCGACGACGGGUAGCUGGUCUGAGAGGGCGAUCGGCCACACUGGGACUGAGACACGGCCCAGACUCCGUACGGGAG
rnacentral:rRNA from 1 species